GAUGAACGCUGGCGGCGUGCCUAAUACAUGCAAGUCGAGCGAACAGACGAGGAGCUUGCUCCUCUGACGUUAGCGGCGGACGGGUGAGUAACACGUGGAUAACCUCCCUAUAAGACUGGGAUAACUUCGGGAAACCGGAGCUAAUCCCGGAUAAUAUAUUGAACCGCAUUGUUCAAUGGUGAAAGACGGUUUUGCUGUCACUUCUAGAUGGAUCCGCGCCGCAUUAGCUAGUUGGUAAGGUAACGGCUUACCAAGGCAACGAUGCGUAGCCGCCCGGAGAGGGUGAUCGGCCACCCUGGAACUGAGACACGGUCCAGACUCCUACGGGAGGCAGCAGUAGGGAAUCUUCCGCAAUGGGCGAAAGCCUGACGGAGCAACGCCGCGUGAGUGAUGAAGGUCUUCGGAUCGUAAAACUCUGUUAUUAGGGAAGAACAAAUGUGUACGUAACUAUGCACGUCUUGACGGUACCUAAUCAGAAAGCCACGGCUAACUACGUG
rnacentral:rRNA from 1 species